rnacentral:rRNA from 1 species
AUACGGAAGGUCCGGGCGUUAUCCGGAUUUAUUGGGUUUAAAGGGAGCGUAGGCCGGAGAUUAAGCGUGUUGUGAAAUGUAGAUGCUCAACAUCUGCACUGCAGCGCGAACUGGUUUCCUUGAGUACGCACAAAGUGGGCGGAAUUCGUGGUGUAGCGGUGAAAUGCUUAGAUAUCACGAAGAACUCCGAUUGCGAAGGCAGCUCACUGGAGCGCAACUGACGCUGAAGCUCGAAAGUGCGGGUAUCGAACAGGAUUAGAUACCCUGGUAGUCCGCACGGUAAACGAUGGAUGCCCGCUGUUGGUCUGAAUAGGUCAGCGGCCAAGCGAAAGCAUUAAGCAUCCCACCUGGGGAGUACGCCGGCAACGGUGAAACUCACAGGAAUUGACGGGGGCCCGCACAAGCGGAGGAACAUGUGGUUCAAUUCGAUGAUACGCGAGGAACCUUACCCGGGCUUGAAUUGCAGAGGAAGGAUUUGGAGACAAUGACGCCCUUCGGGGCCUCUGUGAAGGUGCUGCAUGGUUGUCGUCAGCUCGUGCCGUGAGGUGUCGGCUUAAGUGCCAUAACGAGCGCAACCCCUCUCCUUAGUUGCCAUCAGGUUAAGCUGGGCACUCUGGGGACACUGCCACCGUGAGGUGUGAGGAAGGUGGGGAUGACGUCAAAUCAGCACGGCCCUUACGUCCGGGGCUACACACGUGUUACAAUGGCAGGUACAGAGAGACGGUCCCUUGCAAAAUGGAUCAAAUCCUUAAAGCCCGUCUCAGUUCGGACUGGGGUCUGCAACCCGACCCCACGAAGCUGGAUUCGCUAGUAAUCGCGCAUCAGCCAUGGCGCGGUGAAUACGUUCCCGGGCCUUGUACACACCGCCCGUCAAGCCAUGAAAGCCGGGGGCGCCUAAAGUCCGUGACCGUAAGGAGCGGUCUAGGGCGAAACUGGUAAUUGGGGCU